rnacentral:rRNA from 1 species
GACGAACGCUGGCGGCGUGCUUAACACAUGCAAGUCGAACGGAAAGGCCCUGCUUUUGUGGGGUGCUCGAGUGGCGAACGGGUGAGUAACACGUGAGUAACCUGCCCUUGACUUUGGGAUAACUUCAGGAAACUGGGGCUAAUACCGGAUAGGAGCUCCUGCUGCAUGGUGGGGGUUGGAAAGUUUCGGCGGUUGGGGAUGGACUCGCGGCUUAUCAGCUUGUUGGUGGGGUAGUGGCUUACCAAGGCUUUGACGGGUAGCCGGCCUGAGAGGGUGACCGGCCACAUUGGGACUGAGAUACGGCCCAGACUCCUACGGGAGGCAGCAGUGGGGAAUAUUGCACAAUGGGCGGAAGCCUGAUGCAGCAACGCCGCGUGCGGGAUGACGGCCUUCGGGUUGUAAACCGCUUUCGCCUGUGACAAGGCGUGAGUGACGGUAAUGGGUAAAGAAGCACCGGCUAACUACGUG